CCUUCACCCUCAGAGGUCCAGUCUUUAGGCUGGAGUCUUGUCAGGCACCAAGGAGAGUCACAUUCUAAGAACUUGCUGCACAUUGGUCCCUAAGACUCAUAGGCAUCCGUUCAGUGCAGCUGUCGGUGCCGGAUGAGAAUUAGUUUGGUGGCAAAUGACAAAAAGCCCUCAUCAUGUCUUUAACUGUUGGGCUUUAUUUCUGUGGGGGUGACGUGGUGAUUUGUAGGACCUGUAUCCUUCUGUUUUCCUGCCACACUGUCCUUAGCGUGUCCCUUCUUAGGCUCAUUACCUCAUCAUCACAAGGUGGCUGCUGUGGCUCCAAACCUCGUUUUCACAACAGGAAGAGGAGAAAAGGUUAAAUCAGGUCUACUUGUUGACCACCUUUUAGAAGGAAGGAGACUCUCCCCCAGCAGAUUUGCUUGUUACUCUCACAUGAUUAAAACCAGCAAGAGUCCAGGAAAUCAGCAUCUGUGAAGCGAUGUUUAGAAGUCAAGCGUGGUGCCUUAUGCCUAAGUAAAACCUCCAUGCUUAAGCCUGCCCAGCUCCUCAGGCAAGCCACUGUCACAUCUGGGCCUUAUUUCGACAUGCAUCCUGGCUAACAGGCUCUGUCUGUUAACUCGAGACAAAAACUAAAAGGGUGCAACUCUGUGACAUUGUAAAGAUUGGCCACAUCUCAAAGAGCUUUUGGAGAGCAGAAACAGGAGGGUCAAAGUUGAGGCCAGCCUGUGUGACCUUGUAAAUUCUUGUCGCGACAAACAAAACUAAGCUCAAUUUUGCAAAUUUAUAACUAAUGACAUGCAUUACAACAUAUGUAAACUGUUGCUUAGGGCUUGGCACCGGGUGGCCCUGACAUCAUGGAAGGGAGGGGUUUCUUCAUCGGUUGUGAAGGCAUGUUCUUUUUUUAUUUUUCUAGUGUUUGACAAGUACAUGACAAUCUCAGGAUUUCAGAUUGAGGAAACCAUUUAUUCGAGAGACUUCAGGGAACUUGGAGCAGUUGCUCCUGGCUGUGGGUUCUCAAGUAUUUCUAGUGUUGGCUCUGAUCUCGUCUUUAUCCAGGAUGAAUAUACACUGUUCUCUCUGCAUGGCCCCUGGUGGAUACAAAUUGCUCCUGCAUCCUCUCUGCAUGGCCCCAGGU